GAUAUCUUGGUUUAGUUCUAACCAAAUCUCCUACAAUAUAACAAGCACAAAAACUGAUGUAUGAAAAACAUUACGAGCACGAAAAUUAAAGGGAGCUGCCAAUGACUUCCCGUGCUCGAUAGGGUUUCUUCCAUUUCUGCUCUUCUUUGGCUAUUCUUUUCGAAUGACUGGUCCUAUAACGACGUCGUCGGGUGCAAAUUCGGCAAGCAGGGAUAUGGGAGUCUGGAGGGUUUUUCUUUCUCAUUUUAUAUUGAGAGUCGCAUUUCAACAAAGAAGCUACUACAGAAAGUCGCACUUUAUCGUUACAUAUAAAAGGGUUGGAUCGAGUUUUUAAAAAAAGAUCCGUUGAUUGGAUGCCCCACCCGGUUCUUUUUUUUUCUUGUAUUGCUCUUUUUCUCAUGUUUUUUUGUGGAGUUAACCCAUUCUUUUUCCCUUUCAUGUCUUCUUUUUGGUUUUUCUGUUCUUGUUUCUUGAAAUCUUCGAGAGGGUUGGGUCGAGUUUAAAAAAAAUGAUCCGUUGCAUGCGCAACCCUUGCGGUUUUCAGCACUUCUUUUCUUUUAAGUUGUGCGUGAAGAUUCCACCCUCACUUCUUGGAGUUUAGAGAGAUUGUUGUAGUGCUCAUUUUGGUUGGAUCUUCAAGCAUUCUGGAGGCAGCCAUUAAAUUGAAGUUGAAGAUGCCUCAACACAAGAGAAGAAUUUUUUAUCCUGUGAGACAUUUGCAGCUGUCUAAUGUAAAGAUACUUGGUUGUAAAUUAGAAUACUUUGUGCAAGGGAGCUUUGUAUACUUUGUUGUAAAUUAUCCAAAGAAAUGAAAAUUUUCUUCAAAGAGAAACAAGUACCGACUCUUUGCUAUGAAGAACAUAAUUAUUGAAACAACACUAUUGAACAAGAACAAUCAAUUAUAGCACUUAUGUAUUAGCAAAUUAAUGUUAUUAUAGC